CGGCUUCCUGCGAUCCUGUCUGCGUCACCCGCAAGAUUCCAACCAACAGAUUAGAUAUCUAGACAUAGUGGUAUAGAUGGAGAAAAAAGUCUAAACAGAUCUCAUCGGCCCGCCGGCCGGUGGAGAAGAUAUCAACAGUUUGAUGGUUGUAUCUCCCUUUUAUUAUCUUCCAAUUCUAAUAAUCUGGCGAUCCUGUUUUUCAAACCAACGCAAGAAACCAAUCAGGGCGUAUAUAUAGGGAUAGGGAAGGGUCCAACUCCAUCCCCGUCUCCAUCUCCGUCCCUGGGUCGGCUUGGGCUUAGCUAGCCAGGGAACGAGGAGGAGCGGGUUGUUGUCAUGGCGGCGUCGGCGGCGGCGGUGAUGGAGGAGCUGCGGGGCAGCUUCAGGGAGGGGCGGACGCGGCCGGCCGAGUGGCGGACGGCGCAGCUCAGGGCGCUCGUCAGGAUGAUCGAGGAGAAGGAGGACGACAUCAGCGACGCGCUCCACGCCGACCUCGCCAAGCCGCGCAUGGAGGCCUACCUCCACGAGAUAUCGCUGGCGAAAGGGGCGUGUAUGUUUGCCCUCAAGGGGCUCAAGAAUUGGAUGAAGCCCGACAAGGUACCUUCUGCCAUAACUACAUUCCCAUCCACUGCUCAAAUCGUGCCGGAGCCCCUGGGUGUCGUUCUCGUCAUAUCAGCCUGGAACUAUCCUUUCUUGCUAUCCAUCGAGCCUGUCAUUGGAGCAAUUGCUGCUGGGAAUGCUGUUGUGCUGAAGCCAUCAGAACUUGCGCCAGCAACAUCGUCAUUGUUCGCGAAGCUGCUACCAGAGUACGUCGAUAGCUCGUGUAUAAAAGUUGUGGAGGGAGGUGUCACUGAAACAGGUGCACUCUUACAACAAAAAUGGGAUAAGAUCUUCUACACAGGAAAUGGUAAUGUAGCCCGCGUAGUGUUGGCAGCAGCUGCGAAGCAUCUAACCCCUGUUGCUCUGGAGCUCGGUGGAAAAUGCCCUGUUAUUGUUGACUCUAACGUCGAUCUGCAUGUUGCUGCUAAGAGGAUUGCUGUUGGUAAAUGGGGCUGUAACAAUGGCCAGGCAUGCAUUGCUCCCGAUUACAUCAUAACGACAAAAGCUUUCGUUACAGAACUGGUCGACUCUUUGAAAAGAGUCUUGGAAAGGUUCUAUGGGGAGGAUCCGUUGCAAUCGGCGGACCUGUCUCGUAUUGUGAGUAUUAGCCAUUUCGAACGAUUAGCGAAGUUGAUAGAGGACAAGGAAGUUGCCACCAAGAUUCAGCUCGGUGGUCAGACAGAUCAGGAGCAACUAAAAAUAGCUCCUACGGUGUUGGUAGAUGUUCCUCUUGAUACAGAACUUAUGACAGGGGAAAUAUUUGGCCCCAUGCUUCCAAUUAUAACGGUCGACAAGAUUGAAGAAAGCAUCACACACAUCAACGCCGGGGCGAAGCCACUGGCGGCCUACCUCUUCACCAAGGACAAGAAACUGCAACAAGAUUUCGUCUCAAACGUCUCGGCAGGAGGCAUGCUCGUCAACGACGUCGCCCUACACCUGACGAACCCACAUUUGCCGUUCGGUGGCGUGGGCGACAGCGGCACGGGGUCGUACCAUGGCAAGUUCAGCUUCGACUGCUUCACCCACAGAAAGGCAGUGCUGAUCCGCGGGUUCGGUGGCGAGGCGAACGCAAGGUACCCACCCUACACGGCAGAGAAACAGAGGAUCUUGAGGGGCCUCAUCAAGGGCAGCUUCUUUGCGCUGAUCCUUGCGCUCCUGGGGUUCCCAAGGGAGAAGCGUUAGCUGAGUUGAGUUCCCUCCCUUCUCCAGUACAGCAUAGCAGGAUUGUUCAUGUUCAUGAGGGUGAUGUGCAGGACUGGUGAUGUGGUGCACUUCUGCACUGUGAAGCGCCAGUGCGCGAGUGUGUUCAACAGGUGUAAAAUAUGGGACUAUCAUCGGAUUUCUGGAUGUAAUUUAAUUUUACAUAAAUAAACCUGGUUUGCUACUUACUCCAGCGUGAAGGAUGAAGAGGAUUACGCCCUGCUUAAAAAAUUGCAAGA
rnacentral:rRNA from 1 species